rnacentral:rRNA from 1 species
AUGGCUCCUUUGAAGUUCGAAGUGAUCGAACGCAUCGGUCCAUCGGCUUAUCGGCUUCAGUUACCUGCAGGCAGCCACAUCCACCCGGUGCUGCAUGUGUCCCAGCUUAAGCAGGCAUUGGGACCUCACUGUCAGGUACAGCCAGAGUUACCUCCUGAUGAUGCUCAAUUUGCCAUUCCUGUUUGUGUUCCGCAGCGUUGCUUUCAUCAAUGGGGCUUGGUGGCUAUACAGCAAGGUUUGAUCCAGUGGUCCGGUCAACCAGAAACACUGGCAGCCUGGGAGGAACUUGAUGAACUGCGGCAACGUUUUCCGCGGGUUCCAGCUUGA